GAUGAACGCUGGCGGCGUGCCUAAUACAUGCAAGUCGAGCGAACAGACGAGGAGCUUGCUCCUUUGACGUUAGCGGCGGACGGGUGAGUAACACGUAGGUAACCUACCUAUAAGACUGGGAUAACUUCGGGAAACCGGAGCUAAUACCGGAUAAUAUUUCGAACCGCAUGGUUCGAUAGUGAAAGAUGGCUUUGCUAUCACUUAUAGAUGGACCUGCGCCGUAUUAGCUAGUUGGCAAGGUAACGGCUUACCAAGGCAACGAUACGUAGCCGACCUGAGAGGGUGAUCGGCCACACUGGAACUGAGACACGGUCCAGACUCCUACGGGAGGCAGCAGUAGGGAAUCUUGCGCAAUGGGCGAAAGCCUGACGGAGCAACGCCGCGUGAGUGAUGAAGGUCUUCGGAUCGUAAAACUCUGUUAUUAGGGAAGAACAAACGUGUAAGUAACUGUGCACGUCUUGACGGUACCUAAUCAGAAAGCCACGGCUAACUACGUG
rnacentral:rRNA from 1 species